UUUAUGGAGAGUUUGAUCCUGGCUCAGGAUGAACGCUGGCGGCGUGCCUAAUACAUGCAAGUCGAGCGAACAGACGAGGAGCUUGCUCCUUUGACGUUAGCGGCGGACGGGUGAGUAACACGUAGGUAACCUACCUAUAAGACUGGGAUAACUUCGGGAAACCGGAGCUAAUACCGGAUAAUAUUUCGAACCGCAUGGUUCGAUAGUGAAAGAUGGCUUUGCUAUCACUUAUAGAUGGACCUGCGCCGUAUUAGCUAGUUGCUAG
rnacentral:rRNA from 1 species